AUUGAACGCUGGCGGCAUGCUUUACACAUGCAAGUCGAACGGUAACAGGGUGCUUGCACCGCUGACGAGUGGCGAACGGGUAAGUAAUGCGCCGGAACGUGCCGAGUAGUGGGGGAUAACGCAGCGAAAGUUGUGCUAAUACCGCAUACGUACUGAGGUAGAAAGUGGGGGACCUUCGGGCCUCACGCUAUUCGAGCGGCCGACGUCUGAUUAGCUAGUAGGUGAGGUAAAGGCUCACCUAGGCGACGAUCAGUAGCGGGUCUGAGAGGAUGAUCCGCCACACUGGGACUGAGACACGGCCCAGACUCCUACGGGAGGCAGCAGUGGGGAAUUUUGGACAAUGGGCGAAAGCCUGAUCCAGCCAUGCCGCGUGUCUGAAGAAGGCCUUCGGGUUGUAAAGGACUUUUGUCAGGGAGGAAAUCCCUAGUGCUAAUAACACUGGGGGAUGACAGUACCUGAAGAAUAAGCACCGGCUAACUACGUGCCAGCCGCCGCAGUAA
rnacentral:rRNA from 1 species